rnacentral:lncRNA from 1 species
UUGCAUUUUUGUAUUGCUUGCGUUUUGCAGGUUCCGGCUUUGUAAUGGCUGGUGCAAAUGAGCCGCAGUUUCAAGGUCUCUCUAAAUACUUCAACACUGUUACUCAAACAGGCCGUGCCAACAUUGCCAAGGCCACUUACUUAGUUAUUGGAACCAUAGGUUUAUUUUACUGGUCAAAGAAAAAGUCCAGUGGUGGAUCUGCGAAGUAGAUGCCUUAGGACAAGCCACAAGAAAGGGUACGGGACAUCUGGGCCCUGCUCGCUGCUACCGUUCACGCGAGCAUGCAUGUGUAACCAUUUCCGCAUUAAUCCAGAGGCCGCCAUGCUUGUGGACUUAGUGUCAACAACAAAGAAAAAAAAAAUUGUGAUGAGAGUGGCAAUGUUUAACAUACAUUGUUGUAUUGAAUAAAAACGAUUGUCAUGCAUACAUUCAGCAUCUCAUGGUAGCUCAUGUUGGUGCUUGUGCUGGCCGUUAUUCUAGUCGGCUUCUGUUCAAACAUUAUGGUUGAAUUGCUUCUCUUCGU